rnacentral:rRNA from 1 species
UACGAAGGGGGCUAGCGUUGCUCGGAAUCACUGGGCGUAAAGCGCACGUAGGCGGACUCUUAAGUCGGUGGUGAAAUCCUGGAGCUCAACUCCAGAACUGCCUUCGAUACUGAGAGUCUUGAGUCCGGGAGAGGUGAGUGGAACUGCGAGUGUAGAGGUGAAAUUCGUAGAUAUUCGCAAGAACACCAGUGGCGAAGGCGGCUCACUGGCCCGGUACUGACGCUGAGG